UACAGCCAUAUCACAUUGAAACACUGGUUCUCAUAUGAUCACCAAAGUUAAGCAAUGUUGAGCCUGGUCAGUACCUAGAUGGGUGAUCACUUGGGAAUACCAUGUACUGUA